UACGUAGGGCGCAAGCGUUGUCCGGAAUUAUUGGGCGUAAAGAGCUCGUAGGCGGUCUGUCGCGUCUGCUGUGAAAUCCCGAGGCUCAACCUCGGGCUUGCAGUGGGUACGGGCAGGCUAGAGUGCGGUAGGGGAGAAUGGAACUCCUGGUGUAGCGGUGGAAUGCGCAGAUAUCAGGGAGACACCGAUGGCGAAGGCAGGUCACUGGGCCGCAACUGACGCUGAGGAGCGAAAGCAUGGGGAGCGAACAGG
rnacentral:rRNA from 1 species